ensembl:lncRNA
GGGAGCUCUACCUCAAUGGCAAUGAGCUGCAGUGUGUGGGUGCCACCGAUCUGCUGAAACCUGUGGCUGAAAACAGCCAAAAACUGGCAGAGAUCCAAAACAGGACCACAUCCAUCACAGAUGAAACAGAGUUGAUCUCCCAAAGGAGCAAUACCAAAUCUUCCAGACAAAAGAAAGCAAAGAGCAAAGGGAAGAAGACAAAGAAGAAAAGAGAAAAAAACAAGAGCGAUCAUGGUGCCGCAGGAGGCCCGUGGCUAGAGAAACUGCACAUGUGUGAUAAUUCCAUUGAUGGCUCAGGAAAGGAGGAACUAAAUCAAUUCCUGGAGAUCCUUUGCAUUAUAGUUAAGUUCUCCAGUUGCCUGACCGAACUGGAUCUCAGUGAGAAUCACAUUGGAGAAGAUGGCGCAAAAGUGUUUUUAGAGGCCCUGAGAGAGAGACAAGCAACUAAACUAUCUCCAAUAAAAAUCCAGGUUUCAACACGCAUCUCCACAGAAACAUUCAGGGCCAUUUUGAAAAGUGCAAAGGAGCUUAAAUCUGGGAAAAAGAGAAGAAAGACUAAGGGAAAAAAGUAGUAGUCUGUCUGGAGGACAUUGAAGAAUAUCGCUGAAUGACACAAGAAUGUUUUUCUACACUGUUUCUCCAUGUUUUCAAUUUGUCACAACAGUUUUUUAGAAUCAUCUUUUUAUGUGGUCUUAAUUGAAUUUGCCAACAUCCUUGCAUUAAAUGUGACCGCACAGCAGACUCCCAGAUUAUGAACCACUUAUUGCG